rnacentral:rRNA from 1 species
AUGCAGCUCUCCCACAUGGCCGACGAGGACGCCGCCGCGCUGGUUAAGGGGAAGCGCAUCACCGUCGUGGGGUCCGGCAAGUCAGCCUUCGAGAUCGCCGCCGAGUGCGCCGACGCCAAUGGCGCGGGGACGCCGUGCACGAUGCUGUGCCAGAACCCUCAUUGGCUGCUACUAUCGGGUGACAUGUCUCUCCUUUUCAAUUUCUCUUAUCGCAGGUUUGAUCGGAUGGAAUUCACACACUUGGAUCGAAGGAUUUGUGAUGCAAGGAAGAAGGUGGAUGGAGCGCUGAGGAAUAUGAUAAGGAAGGGGUCGGAUGAGAGAGGAGAGAAGAGUAGGGUGAAGGACGAGAUGGAGGGAAAGAGGGACAAGGACAUGGUGAAUGGAGUUUCUUGA